rnacentral:rRNA from 1 species
CAGCCGCCGCGGUAAUACAGAGGGUGCGAGCGUUAAUCGGAUUUACUGGGCGUAAAGCGUGCGUAGGCGGCUAAUUGAGUCGGAUGUGAAAUCCCCGAGCUUAACUUGGGAAUUGCAUUCGAUACUGGUUAGCUAGAGUGUGGGAGAGGAUGGUAGAAUUCCAGGUGUAGCGGUGAAAUGCGUAGAGAUCUGGAGGAAUACCGAUGGCGAAGGCAGCCAUCUGGCCUAACACUGACGCUGAGGUACGAAAGCAUGGGGAGCAAACAGGAUUAGAUACCCGGGUAGUCCCUGUCUCUUAUAC